CCCUUGUUUAUGGGCACCUGUGCAUGCAAGGAUCAUAUCGUCUUUGAUCAUGAGUAUUGUGUUAGUUCUAAAUCCAUCUUCAAUCUCAUCGAAAACUUAAUGAUGGUUUGCUCUUGCAGAUUGUUGGUCUAUGUCAAGCUCUAAAUGAUGUUUUGGAUAGCAUGGGCAAGAAGGGCAUUCCUGUUCCUGUUUGACUUGGAUUAUUGCCAAUUUCUUUGUCUAUACAUUCUUCCUGAAUCAUCAAUGUUAUACAUACAUAUAACAUUGAAUUUGACAUAUAUUAUUAGAUUCUAGGUUCGAUUUAUCCAAUGGUUGCACUUUGUUUAAUUCUGAAGUUCAUCGCGAUUGUGGAUAUAAGUUCCAUUAUGUUUUACCCGUGGACAAAUAACCGGCUAAUGAAAGAAUAUGAAGGAUAUGUAAAUGAAAUAGCUCAUAUUAUUUCUUAACCUUGCGAGAAAUAUUGCAUAAAACUUGGUUAGCUUGUGGUUAAGUUUUGUUUGUUUCUUUUUAUCAGAAAACAGGGUCAAUGCAUGUAUUUGAGGGAACAUUGCUUCCUUAUGUUGUUUGUGUUAAGUGUAUUGAAGAUUUAGUACCUUACGCAUAAAGAUCAUGCAUCUCAGAUAUUUUUUUUGUUGUUUGUUUGAAACAUCAUGUGAACUCAUAAUAGAGUUAGAAAGCAGUGUCAUUGUUACCAAUUGACCAAAACAAACUCGAUCUAAUGAAGCCAAACUCGUAUAAGUAACAUUAUUUGUCCUAUCAUCUAUAAAAUAAGUUGAUAUCCAUGCAUUUUAAAAAGAUUUGCUUCCUAAAAAAUAGCAAUGAUAUAUUAAUAUUACAAAAGCCUAACUUAGAAGAUUAUCAUCCUAACCAUCUAAAUGAGAAAGCUCUUGUGAAAUGUAAAUCAUCAUUCAUAAUUCAUUGAUGCUAAUAUAUUAUGAUGUAAAUUACUCUUUUAUUUUUCAAUGGAUUUAGUGCAUUGGUUCUGAUGUGAAACUAAUUGGUAAGUUGCAAGAUAUCUCAACCCUUUCUUGCUCUAAUAAAAUAUGAAAAAAGGAUCAAUGGUAAUAAACCUUUACCCACAAGUGUACAAAACUUCUACUUGGAGAAGAUGAAGAAAGAUAAAGCUUUGUCCUAUUUAAUUAAUGACACAAAUACAACACAAAAGAGUGGCACAAACAAUAAUUGAAGGAAAGAUAGAAUACAUCAAAUAAAAUAUAGAAAUAAAAGAAGACGCCACAUUCUUAGAGAGCCUCAUCGAGUUAGAUCAUUAUAUUGGACUAAGAGUAAUUACACAAGUUAGUUGGAAAAAAUACAUAUUCACCCAAAAUCUAAGACAUUUGGUAUAUGAAAUGUUUUUCAGCUUCAACUCUUCUAUUCAAUGUUCUGUCAAAAAAAAAAAUUCUUCUAUUCAAUGUGAGACUUUAACUAACACAUCACAACAUCUCUCUUCAAGUUUAAAGUUUUCAUUGUCCAUGAUCCAAUACUACGAAUUUUUCAUGCUCCCCAUCAAGUCGAAACAGAGCUUUGAUACUAUUGUUGGAUCAUGAAGGGAAGCUUCACUAAGUUGGAUCAUCACAUUGGAUUAAGAACAACCACAUAAGUGAGUUGGACACCAUAUAUUCACCAAAAAUAUUAAAAUAUUAGGCAUGUGCGUCAUAUCACUUAUAGGUUGAUCAACCUCAACAUUUUCAUUCAAUAAGAUUUUAACUAAAUACUCUUGAUAAGAAUUAACGGUAGUUCUUCUAUUUUAUUUUAUUCAAAGGUGAGAAUACACGUUCCUACAAUAGGCUCUUCAUGAUUGGAUUUGAUUUGAGUGAAAGAAUUCUUUGUUCGACGCUUCUUCACUUGCUUUGUCUUGAACUAAUUUGUCAUUAAGUCCCUUCAUCCUAAUGCAUUAUUCUUCGAUAGAAUUCCUUUCACAUAGUACUCAAUAAGUUUAAGAUUACAUCAAUAACUCAAUUAAACUUUCAAGUUCAAUAAAAUUAUGUAAAAACGUUACUUUUUAUUUUGUUUUUCAAAAGUGUGGAUGGUAUUUUUCUAGUUGGGGGUGAUGACUUGGCUAGUGCAUAAGAUGCAGCAGGGAACAGUAGUUGAACUGUGUCUAACACUUGCAAGCUAUAUUCUUGCCCAAAAAAGGAAACACACAAGAACAUCUUAAAAAAGACAGAAAAAAAAAAAGUUGACAAAGUGUUUUUGUUAUGAAACUAAUGAACCUUUUUAUUAUAGGCUCCCUAUUUUUCCAUUUUCAUGCAAAAGUAGCCUUAAAUUAUGAUGAUAGUUUAAAAUGAAGUAAAGGCCUUGAACAAUAUAUCAUUUCAAUCCCCCAUAUAUUUUCACAUAAACUAUCAAAAAUAUCCAACACCAAAAUAAAAGGUGCUACAUCACCUCUUGCAAGCUUCACUAAUUAAAUUGAUCAUACAUUUCAAUUUAUGUGUUUCAUGGGUUGAUGAAUAGAAACGUAAAAGAGUUAAUUUGUGGUGGACAUUUUAUAAAAUAUUAUCCAACAUAGAUCUCACUAAUAUUAUUUUUUGAGGGGGCACUAAUAAUAUUUCCUCUUUAUUUAAUUGGUUUAAAAAAAAAAAAUGGGAGUAAAAUAAAUAUUUUAAGCUAACAAAUUUUUUACAAUUAAUUAGAAGUAUACACUUAUUUUUGUUAGUUUGAUAGUUAAUUUUUUGGUUCAUUUUGUUUCGAGUUAUCGAGCCGAACUGAGUUGUUCGUGAACUUCAAUUCAAACUUAAAUCUCACCCGUCAUCGAUCAUACUUAACUUUCUUAUUAAAUCUCACCCGUCCAGAAAUCCUCUUCGCCAAUCCGAUAUAUCAAAUGAAAAAUAUACAAUAUAUAAAUCUACCAAUUUAGUAAAAUAAUCAAUUAUAAGUAAACAGUGAAAUCACGUGUAUUCUUCUCUCUUGAUGAAGAGGCCUCAUGGAUCGGACUCCUCCGGUCGGAGAAGAGGUUUUGUCCGACGACGAAGAAAAGGCCGGAGAAGAGAAUCCAGUUUGGUCUCGUGCUGGUGGAAACAAGAUUGUUGCUGUAGGAAACGAGAUCUGUGUUUCUGAAAACAAGAUCGUUUCUGGGAAUCCGUCAUUCUCGGAAACGAUGAUUUUGUUUCCAGCAAUAGCUAUCUUGACUCCACCGGCACGGAUCAUAAAAUUAUAGCUAAAUUAUUUGUUAACAAAGAAAACAUCGCAACCAGUACAAAGCCCUGGAUUUAGUCAUAGCUAAAUUAUAGGUCUUACAGAUCAUGAACCAAAUGAGUCGAACUUUAGUUAAAAAUUAAAUCCGUUAAAUGAGUUGAAAUUGAGCUAUGUGUAGUUCGACUCGUUUAAUUCAUGAACUAUCUCAAUAUACACACAGUUAAUAAAAAUAACUUGGAAGAAACGAUGUAAAUAUUAUGUCAUAUUUUGAAUUACAAAUGUCAUUUUCUAAAAAAACAAACAUUUAAAGAAAAAAACUUGUAUUGAGUUUAAAUGACUAAAUUUGAAGAAAGGACUAAAUUUAAAGAAAGGACUAAAUUUAAAGAAAAAAACUAGUUGAAAGGACUAAAUUUGAAGUUUUUACCCAUUGGCAGUGUGGGAUUUUUUACACUCACAAGAAAUCAAACUAAUUCUUUAUGAUAUAACAUAUUUAUGAGUUGGUGUAUUUGAAUCUAUUAUUGUUAAAAUGUAAUGUUAUUUUGCUUUUGAUUUCUCAAUCUUAUGUUUAACUACCAAAGAAAAAAGCAAGCUACAGGAAAUAUAAUUUAUCUCUAUAGCUAGAAUACCACCUUUGGUGUAAUAAUAAUAGAGCACAUUUGCAUGAGUGAGGUUAGUAUCGCAAUAAGGCUGGAUAGAAUACACGUAAGUAAAAUUGAAUACACCAUAUCUCUAUUUACAAUCAUGCACGUUUUUUUUAGUAUAUAGACGAAAUUUCAAUAGCCACUUUAAAACUCAUACACGUAAGUGUAGAGCCAUGGUUCGAAUUUUGAUUACGAUAUUCAAUUUAGUAAUUUCAAUAAUUUUAUCGGUUGAACAAAAACUUUUUGAUCAAUCCUACACGGUCUUAUAUAUGGUUAAGUUAACAAAUCUGUUGAGUAGUAUUUGGCAUGAUCCCAAUAAAACAACCAUAUCAGUGUUUCCUAUACAUAUAUGAUAUAUGUCUAUCAGAUUAUUAUAAUUAAAAACGGGUCAUGCUAACAAAUGCUUAAAAACACUCUUUAAGGAUUUCAAGUUAAAAAAUUAUUCAUUAUAGGUUGAUCAACCUCAACUUUUCCAUUCAAUAAGGUUUUAACUUAGACUUGACACAUUAGAGCAAAAUACUCUUAAUAAGAAUUAAUGGUAGUUAAUAUAUUCUAUUUUAUUCAAAGGUGAGAAUACACGUUAUUUAUUUAUAGCCUUAAAUUUUAAACUCUUAAUAAGACUAUGUAAAAACGUUACUUUUUAUUUUGUUUUUCAAAAGUGCGUAUGAUAUUUUUCUAGUUGGGGGUGAUGACUUGGCUAGUGCAUAAGAUGCAGCAGGGAACAGUUGAACUGUGCCUAACACUUGCAAGCUAUCUGCCUAUAUACUUGCCCAAAAUAAGGACGAAACACACAAGAACAUCUUAAAGAGCAAUCUCACCAUGCAUGAAAAAAGACAAAAAGUGGUGGAGAGAUUGAUAAAGGGAGAAGAGAAACAAAACACGCCAAAGAUUGUUGACACAGUUCGGUCUAACUUGACCUAAUUUGGAGGAGAGAUCGAUCUCUCCAAUCCACUAUCAAUGAGUUCUUACAAAGGGAUACAAAUGUUUUACAAGAAAGCUCACGAAGAACAAACCUAAUUUCUACCCAUUUUCACAAUCUCACAAAUGAACAAGACACUCAAUGAUUUUCACUCACCCAAGGUGUUUACAAUGUUUCCCAACCCAAGAGAACUCUAAUCAAAGACCCUUAACCCUAAAGUUACCUCAUUUGAUUUCCCAAGUUUUCCUCUCUUGAAGUUCUCUCUCCACCCCCUUCAAAAAUGAGCUGAAACACUUAAAUAGUACAUAGUGUUAAGAAGUUUUAAAUAGCAACUUCACAUUGGAACUUGUAUAUUUUGUAUUAAAUAUAUAGCUUUUUAGUAAAUAAUUAUUAGUUUUCAAUAAAAACUUAAUACUUUUAGUUGUUUUAACAUAUGCAAUGUUGUUGUAACAAAAAAAAAAAACAUAUGCAAUGUUGCACAUGUUAGACAAAUAUAUUAUAGAUUUAAUAAAUAGAAUAAUCAACUACCGAGAGAUAUUCCCAAGGGAGAUACUCAUAAACAUUUAUGUAGGAUGAAUUAAAUUGAUGUAGGUUAUUUGAUUCCGAUUCUUGUUUUUGAUGAAAAGAAUUACAGUAUUGUGUUACGACGUCGUUUUCGGAAGGUCGAAGUCGGAGAAGAACGAAGCGACGCCGACACCGUCACUAGCACAUGUAAUCGGUGGCGGUGGGAAGGAGUAUGCGCUGUCACGGGCGAGGUUUUGUGGCCAGGAGAAGACGAUGGUGCGAAUGAGAUUGCGUUUUUUGCCGGAGAUUUUUUUCGUGGUGGUGUAAGCGGAGUGGUUCAGAAACGAAUCGGAUUGUUGUAUAAUUAGGAAUAAAUUAUCUCUAAAUAAUAAUCUUCAUAUAAAUAAAAACAUCAAUUAAAUAUUAAAGAGAAUAAACUAGAAGGAUAUAAGUAAACUUAUCUGUUCUUGAAAUUGCGGUGAUUUGAAGUCGGUAACGGUGAAGUAAGCAAACAAGAAUUCAUGACCUGCAACAUAGUAAGCCACAUUUAUAUAACCUGAGGCGUGACAUAGUCACUGUCCUUGAGGAUUUUAUCCGCCUCAUAAGCGCAUAUCCUCCUAGGAUAUAACAGUUCUUCUCCGUUACGAAUCAUAACGGAUGUGACAGAACAACUCAAAUAUAUCUCAGAGAUAUCAGAAGAUGUAACCCAAAAACUCAAUAUUUUGUUGAGAGAAAAGAACAAGAGAAAUAUGAAAAUGAGAGAGUAUAUAUGUGGUUGAUGUUUUCUGUACUGCUUUUUUUCAUUUGUUCCAUACGUAUGUGAAUAUAUAUAUGGAAGGAACUAUCAAAUCUCAUAGGUUAACAAAACCAGUUAGUAAAGUAGGCACUAACCUUUGACUAACCAUAAUAAUAGGAACAUGUGGUUACAAAGAAUGAAAUAAGGAUCUCUUAAUAAUGAUGAGUCAUGGAGAUAUUUAAGGGGAUAUUGGAACCUGUCAAUAAAUAGAAAUAAAUUAACAAUUUUAAUUUAAAUUGUUUUCUAGUAAUAAGAAAACUUUUGAAAUAUUUAAUAAGACAAAAAUUACAACAAUGAGAUAGAGUGAGGUGGAGGAAGGGAUGAGAAGCUGAGAGUUUUCCUGGUGGUGGUGGAAGCGGAGGGUUUCAUAGAUGAAUUCGGUGGUGCCAGCCUUGGUUCCCCUAGAUAAAAUAUCUCAAGUUGCUGAUGUUGAUCAGCUUUAAAUCAUCGACUGAGGUUCAUGCUAUGAUGAAGAAGUUUCUAUAAAUAAAAUGCAAAGACUAACCAAAGAGUUGUUUUGAUAAACAUUCAUUCAUUGUACUCCUUGUGCAUCCAAAUAUGACCCCACCAAGUUGAUUCUUCUCCAAAUUUCUACCACAUGGAGUCCUUCUCACUAGUUUUUGUGAGAUAGGUAGAGUCCUUUUGACAUUAAAAAUCUGUGUUUUCAUUUUUGUCCUCAUCCAAACACAAGAGGAGAAAAACUUAUUUAAUUAGAGAAUUUAUGACAAAAAGAGAGAUCGAAGAAAAGUAUAAGAUAUUAAAGAGUUCAAUCUAUUAAAAGUUAAAAUCAACAUAUUUUAAUAUUUUGAACAUUGACAUGACAAUGGAAUUAUAUUGGGGGUAAAUGCUUGAAUAUUAGACCGAUAAAUUUAGUGUGUUUGUAUCAAAAUAAAUUAGUCUGUAUUUGGUUCUGCAUUGACGAAAAAUAAUCUUGAUAAAUUAAUUUUAGAAAAAAAAAUGUGUUGAAUGUAAAGUAAUUUAUAUUUAAAUACAUUAAGUUAAAAGUGAUUUGAACAAUAAACUCCUAUGUAAAAAAUUAAGUUUAUAUUCAAAAACUACAAAUCAUAAUAUCAAUUUGAUAAGCAAAAUCAAUUACAAUCGACAUCAUUCAAAAUUAUAAAAAUCAAUUUUGCUUCUCCUAUUGUAUAACCUAACCCACAAUAUCAAUUUACAUUAACAUGGCAUGAUCCUUGAAGUUUAGCAGGCUUGACACCAAUUGAAAAACAGGACAUUAAGAAACUUUUUUUUUUGGUUACAAGACAUUAAGAAACUUAAAACAAAUAAGUUUUAAAAAACAGAACAUUAAAAUCCUAUAUUCAUAAUAAGUGACUAUAAAGAGAAUAUGUUACAACAUUAUCAACCACCAAUUCAAACCAUGUAACAUUGUACUCAACCAUGGGCGGUUCCACCGUGUAGCGACCCCGGGCGGUCGCCCGGGCUCGAUCGAUAAUUUUUGCACAUUAGAUUCAACCAAAAAGCUCAUUAACACAUUUAUAAAAAGAAAAAUUUGGGCAAUUUGAAAAUUGUCACACGUAAAUAGGUCUUGGAAUUUUAUUUGGCACACUAUUGACAGUUUCAUCUCUCUUAUUUUAAUGGGUUAAUUGUUCAAAUUGACUCUUUAAUAUACUUUAUGUUUGAAAAAUGACCCAAUAAAAUACAAAAUAUAUACUCUAACAUUGUAACUUGAAUUUUUUCUUAUUUAAUUUUGAACACCCUAUAAUAUACGUGUAGUCUAAACAUGUGACCUAAAUGUUGAAUUUUUUCACUAUUUUUUUCUUACAUGUUUAGCACGUUAAAAUAUAGCUUUACAUAAAAUUAAAUUUCUUCGACCAGGGAUAAAUUAAUUAUGAAUUUUUAUUCCCUCAUAAUUAUGAAUUUCUUAAAUAAUUUAUAAUUAAUUUGUAUCUCGUUUAAAAUUUACAAAAUUUCAUUGUGAAUGUUUCUUAUCAUGUUCUAGUCAUGCCUACAAAAUUAGGGAACUAAAUUUGACUUGUGAGUAUACGCUUACGCGGAACAAAAUUUCAAUUUUGCACGUUUCAGUUGAAAAAUCAAAAUAAAUUUAAACGAUUUCGAAAUGCUAUGAAACUUUACAAAUCCCUUUUAUGUAUUUUUAUAGAUGUCUUUGCAAAUAAUGAGCUUAAAAUUUGAUUUAUAGAUCGAGAUUUCUGUUGUUUUGUUUUUUGAGCUUUUGACACUUUAAAAAUUCAUAAUUAAUUUGUCGUUUGUCGAAAAUUUAUAAUUUUUUUGUUAAAGCCAUAUUUUAACGUUCUUAACUCGUCGCUGGAAAAUCAUGAAAAAAUUCAAUCUCUCAGUUGCUUUUUUGGACUUCGCGUAUAUUACAGGUUAUAAAUAAUAAAAAUCUCGAAUUACAUGGUCAGAAUACAUGUUAUUUAAUUACAGGGUCAAUUUUCAGACUUCACGUAUAUUACGUGGUUAAUUUAAAUUAAUAACCCUAUUUUAAAUUGUACUUUUGUUGAUAAAAUGAUAAACUUCAUUUAUUUUGAUUUUUUUUAGGUAAAAAAAAAAAAAAAAUCGAUUUAUGACUGUUUAUAUAUUAUAUCACAUGUGAAUUUACGAUUAAUUUUUCGCCCAGGCUCCAUAAAUUUCCUGGCUCCGCCACUGUACUCAACAACACUUGAUCAUAUAAAAUUCAAACAAAAACAUAAAAGAAACAGAAAGAAAAACAGUGAAAAAGUAUAUGCAUACAAAAAAAAUAUAUAAAAUAGAAAUGAGACAAAAAGAAAAAUAAUUUUUUUUUGAAAGAAAAAAGAAAAAUACUUGCAGACAAUUAUAUUGUAAAAAUAAUGUUAGAAUAGGAAACUCAACACAAAGUACUAAAUGUAAGGAAAUAUUUAUAUAGUACAAAUUGCUCAUGCUUUUUCUAAAAAUAUGAAGUAUCUCAUAAUUUAUACAUUUUUUUACACAACCUCAUCUUUUGUUCAUGUGAUUAGAUUUUGUGUGAGUUUAACAAAAGAAAAUUUAAAAAUACUCCUCUUAUAGAGAAGACACAAAAGUCAUGCAAUGUUACAUUACUUUUGCUCAUUCAUACAAUUAUUAACAUUUUAACAAUGAAAAUAAUAUAUUAUUAAAACAAAACAAUAAAAAUAAUAUAGUUUGCAUGCUAUAUUUGCUAUAUACACGAAUUAGUAAUUUCUAUGUUAAAUGACUUGUCAUCUGGUUAUAACAAAAAGUAUUUAUCCUGAGGAAAUGAACUAAGAUAAUAUUGAUUCUCAUUAAUCUCUAAAAUGAAUAAGUGAUUAUAUAAUCAAUUAACUACUUGAUUUGAAAUUAUUAUAAUAAGAUAAUAUUAUGAAAUAUUGAUCUUCUGGAUGUAUGCAGCAGGCAAAGUGGACCUUCAAAGUUUGUCAGAUUACAUUGCUUUGUUUAUAUUUUUAAAAAUUAAAUGUCUUUUUUCCUUCAAACACUCCAACAUGUUAUCAAACUUCGAGCUUUCAAACCAAAUUGUAAAUUUAACUUGUAACUAAUUAAAACUCAAUUAGUUGGAUUGGUGUGAUGUUUUUUUCUAUUAAAUAAUAAUAAUAAUUCUAUCAUGAAAGUCGUAGACAUGCUUUGUUAGCUUUCGAACGAAUUGUUACAUUCUUCGAUUCAAUAAGGCUCGGCCACUCUAUGACCUUUUUAGUGAAAUAAAACGGGUCUAAAACGAGAAAAAUUCGUAAACUAACAAGGAAAUUCACUUAACCUCCAUUCCAGCCGAAUUUUUAGAAGAAGCUAAAAUCAACCAUGGAUGUCGUAGCUAUGCUUGUAGCUUUCAUCAAAUGGUCACAUGCUUCGAUUCGAAAAGACUAUGUCACUUUAUGGUCUUCUUCGUAAAAAAGAGUAAAAAAAAUGAGUAAAAUCCGUAAAUUUACAAGGAAAUUCUCUUAACCUCCAUUUCGGCGGUUUUUUAAAAUGCUAAAAUCAACCAUGAAAAAGUAAUAACUAUGCUUGUUAUCUUUCUGAUGAGUUGUUACAUAAUUCUUUUAACCUCCACUUUAUGGAAAAGUAAUAACUAUGCGUAUCAAAAACUGCAAUUGUUGGCUAGAAACCAUUCAAAAACAAAAUCAUUGAUUUCUUCAUCAUUGAAAGUUUGUGGUAAUAAUUUUAUCAUUUUGUAUAUUCUUACAACUUAUCGCAAAUGACAAGUUUGUAAGUGUUUUUCACCGAGUAUUAUCACAAAACAUAUGUUCGAACAUUUCUGUAGCAAGCUUCUUUAUGAAUUCACGUGACCCAAUUGAAGGUACGUCAAAGGUUUAUGGUCCUAUUAAUGAAAGAAAACCCACCAAUCUACAAAGACGUUACCAUAAAAGAUUUCUAGGCACAUUUUUAUGUAGAAGGCCUUAAUGGAAAAUCUUCCUCGGAGGCCUUAAUGGAAAUUCUUUCAAAAUGUGAUGAAGAUAAGUUAAGCAUGCAUGCUUGAACAUCUUCAUGAUGAGCCAAUAGAAGUAGGCACGGCAACAAAACUCAUACCCGCGGUUAUCUGUUCAGACCAAACUCAAUUUGACGGGAUUUUUCCGUUUUGACUAGUUUGAGUUUUUUCUAACCCGCCUCAAACCCAUACUCAAACCCGUCUCGAAUGUAAAAAAUUAUUUUAUGUUGAUAUGUCAUGUUAUUUUGUUUGAUAAUUUUCAUUUUCAUGUUAUAAAAACUACCAUUGAUAUUUAAAGGAGCAACUAGUGGUAUUGGCUUGGGACUUGGGAGUGUGCUCCUCCUCGAAGUCUCAUGUUCGAUUCUCUCAGGUGUCAAUUUAGGUGGGUUAAUUUAGCUUAUUAAAAAAAAAAAGGAGCAACUAAAUUAUUCGGUCUAACAGAUGUUAAAGUGAACAUAUUAUUGGAUAAUGUAUUACAACAUUGCUCUUGGGGCUUGUUAAAAAAACAUUACUCUUGGGGUUGCAAAAAAACUUCUAUUUUUUUAUGGAAAAAAUUAUUCAAUACGGGAAUAGGUAUGGGGCAGGGAUACCCGAACCCGUUGGGGACGGGGAUGAAAUUCAAUUUCUCAUCCUCGUUAGAUAUGGGUAAGGUAAUAUGUAAGUAUAUAAGAACGGAAAAUGUAAAACCAGUCUUCACCCCGCCCUAUUGCCAUGCCUAAAUGAAAGUAUUCAGCAACCACACUUAUAGGGAGAGUCAAUGGCACUAAGAAGCAAUAAUACAUAUCUCAUCCUCGUUAGAUAUGGGUAAGGUAAUAUGUAAGUAUAUAAUCACAAUGAUGUCAAUCGCAGAUCACUAAAUAGCAUAUCAUAGAACAAUAGUCAUUAAUUCAAAUUCUACACUUUAGCGUUGAUGUGGACGUUAUUUGACCACAUUGCACCCCUAACACUGAAAGGUGUACUUAAGUGUGGACUCCAAAUGAUGAUUUAACUACGAUGAAUGUUGAUAACUAAAGAAGGUCAAUCAAUUUAGUCCCUCCAUCAAAACUAAUGAAAGUCUUGUGUAUUGAUUUAAAUAGUCUCUUGUUGCAUCAAGACUAAAUUGAUGAAAUGACCAAACUUACUAACACUAUUCAACCUAAGGGACUAAAUUACUAUUUCAUAAAUUUGCGGGAUAAACCCAAAAUCGUAAUCAUCAUUAAAAUUAAUUAUUCCACCCGUUUCAAAAUAAUUAUCUUUUAACAUUUUUUUCUGUCACAAACCUUAAAAAUCAACCAAAUUAAUCAUUUCCUUAAAAACUGUGCUCAAACCUUAAACAACUAUUAUUCUGAGACGGAGUGGGUACAAAUAUGUUGUCCAUGUGUGUAGUUUUGUUAGCCACAUGAAAUUAGAGAGUGAUUUUCAAAAUAUUAUUGAUUACUUGUUUUCAAUAUUUGCCUCUAAUUAAUAUUAUUUUUGUCUCCGUCUCAUUUUAAUUGUCGCUUUAAGGUUAUGCGCGGUUCUUAAGAAAAUGAUUAUUUGACUUGAUUUCAAUGAUAAAAUUAAUAUCAUUUGCUAUAAUAUCCAUAGUAAUGUAGUUAGUGGAGGUAGUUGAGUUGAGUGAAAUUCAAAUUGUGAAGAUAUAUUCGAAAGUGACAAUUAUUUUAAAACAAGAAAAAAAAUGUUAAAAACUAUUAAAAUGAGACGGAGGGAAUAGUGUUAGAGUAGUGUCCAUAUGAGCUGCCAAAUUGUGAAGGGGUGAAAGUUGGGGGUUAUAAGUACAAUUUCCAAAGUUAAGGGUGAAAAAGUAAGUUCAUUUUAGCCUAAUAAAUAAAUAAUGUUUCUAGUCACACCCAUUAUAACUCUCACACCAAAAAAUGACAAAGAACACAUUUGUUAUAGUUUUUUUUAUUAAGAAAAAUGACUUAAAAAAAAAAAACAAUCACUUUUAAGAAUGUUGCAUUCGUUUGUUAUAACUUUUCAAAAAAAAAUCAGAAUCAAACAGGUUCAAAUGAAAAGUUGUUAAUAGUAGCUUCUCGAAAAAUAGAUUUUUUUAAUAGAGUGAUAAAAUAUUGAUUAAAAGAUUAAACUAAUUUUUAAAUUAUUUUCUUAAAAAAAAUGUUUUUAUUAAGGUAAAUAACACAAAUUAGAUUUUAAUUUUACAUAAGAUUAUACGACCUUUAUUUUAAUCCGUAGCCAUAAAACCAAAAACCCACUUAAAUACAAUUUAAUUCCCAAUUCCUGCAAAACCUUCCUUCAUUAUUAUCUCCUCUUCCAAAACAGCUCUUCUGGAAGCAAUUUUGAGACAACAAGGCUAGAAAAUUGUGUUCUUGAUUUGUGUUUUUUCCCCUCAUCUCAAUUCAUGCCAUUGUUGUGUGUUUCUGGGUUUUCCAAUUUAUACAUCGUGGGUUUUGUGGGUGCAGAGGCAAGCGUGAACAAUUCAGCGUAAUCAUCAAUUUAGAUUACAUUAGUUUUUUGUGACAGCAAGUUCUCUGGAUUGUUAUUGUACAAUGUAGGGGUUUUUGAGAAAGUUACAAAAUCUAUGAUUAGUUUGUUUGUGAUUUUUAACAAGUUAAUGUUAAUUAGGAUUUUGAUAUGUGAGUAAGGAAUGGUUUUUAAGUUUGGAUAAUGGUUGGCUUGGAAUCUUGAAGUGUGUUCCUCUCAAGGUCUCAGGUUCCAUUCCCUCUGUUGCCAAUUUUGGUGGGCAAGUUCAUACUUAGAACGGGACCCCCGCAAGUGGGCAGUGGGAUUGGUCCACUCGGAUUAGUCGGUCCUUGGAUCGAUACCGAGUUUUCAAAAAAAUAAUAAUAUUGGAUCAUUAUAAAAUUUCUUUGUGAAUGUUAAUUAGGAAGAACUGUUGCUUUUGUGAUCAUAGUAGCUCUCUUAUCUCCAUCUUUUGCACAAGACCUCGAUUGAUAUUUUUAUUUAUUUGCAUACCACUGCUUGCUGUAACUGUGUGAGUUGUUGACUUGUCAUUCAAACUAAAUGUUGAAUUUUUUGUCUGUCUGUCUCAGAUCAAGUUUGCAAGUGGUUGUGACUGACUUGUGCUGGAAGGAAACAUGGAGUCUGGUUUAACUAUCACCGCCGGCAGCACACAAAGCGGAAACCUAAAACGAUUGGAAUUGGAAUUGGAAUUGCAGGCUGAGUCGAUUUCCCUCAUUAAAGUUCCCUCAAAACCUGAUAUUCAUUUCGGAAACCUAAAACGAUCUCAAGCUGUGUAGCAUCAACUUUAACACCGACUCACCCACAUCCUGCAACCAUAUUGACCUUACAUUCCCACACCUAAUAAAUUUUGAGGCUAAAAACUGCUCUUGGUUUCUUGAUUCUAGAACGGUCUUUGUACAUGCACCUCUACUUCAAAGCAUUCUCAUUCUAAAUGGCAUGCACAUGUUGUAUGGAGAGGACAACUCUGCUAUCAAUUUUGUAAGUUCUUCGCAUCUGCAAGAAUUCACUUACGGGAGUAAAUCUGAAGUUAUUUGUAUGUCGUUGGCAUACAAAGAUUUAUGUUGUUCAAUAAAGAUGCUAAUGUUUAUCUUGAUGUCAUGUAAUAGUUGCACUACCUAAGGGGGUUACACCUUGGUAAUUUGAUGUAUUCAUAAAAUACUUGUCCCAAAUUACUUUCAUGCAUUUCAUAAGUUUGUUAUAAUCUAUAAUCUAAGUUUAUUCCUCUAUUGCAAUAUGAAUUAGUUUCUUUGUGUUACCCAGCAUCUGGUACCACCACUACAACUAUGUGAAUUUUCAAUGUUGACGAAAUUCGAGGUUUACUUCAAAAAUCACCAGCUCUUCAGACACUAGUUCUCAAGGUUGAUAAUUAGUUUUUUAUCCACUUUUCUUUAUGCUCGUUUAGCGUCUUAUUUAUACUUUGUUUGAUGUUUAUCUUUAUCAUCAGGAUAUAUAUGGAUAUACGGAAGAGCGUUUGAAUUCUGCUGUUGUGCCAAAGUGUUUCGCAUCUCUCCAUGAUGUGACUUUUUCAGGCGUUGAUGGAGACGAGCUUGAGCUGCGUUUAGCUAAAUUUUUUAUGCAAAAUUGUAUGAUGCUACCUAGGAUGCAUUUCUUCAAAGAUAGUCAAAGCCAAGGCCAUGACAAAGAUGAGGUUUUGGAAGAAUUUUUUAAUAAGCUGCACUCAUUUGGUAGCCUCUAUUUUGUUUUUGUUUAUUGGCUUAAUUGCACUUUUGGACCCCUAUCUUUUCAAAAGUUGUGGUUAUGGCCCACUAACUAAUUUAAAUACAAAACAGCCCCUAUGUUUUGAUUUUUUGGCAGUUUUGGACCCUUAGUCCAUUAGUGAGGUGCCACGUGGUGUAACGUCCACUUUCGUUAAUUGUUUAUUUAAAUCGAGUUUAGGCGAUUAUAUUAUAUUUAUAUAAUAUAUGCAUGAUUAUGGUAUGAUUUGAAUGAUUUACGUUUAUAUUGAUGAUUUAGUUGAUAUUGUGAUAAGUUAUGAGUUUUGGAAGAUUUGAUAAGAUUAAGGGAUUUAUUUUAUUGUUAAAUNNNNNNNNNNNNNNNNNNNNNNNNNNNNNNNNNNNNNNNNNNNNNNNNNNNNNNNNNNNNNNNNNNNNNNNNNNNNNNNNNNNNNNNNNNNNNNNNNNNNNNNNNNNNNNNNNNNNNNNNNNNNNNNNNNNNNNNNNNNNNNNNNNNNNNNNNNNNNNNNNNNNNNNNNNNNNNNNNNNNNNNNNNNNNNNNNNNNNNNNNNNNNNNNNNNNNNNNNNNNNNNNNNNNNNNNNNNNNNNNNNNNNNNNNNNNNNNNNNNNNNNNNNNNNNNNNNNNNNNNNNNNNNNNNNNNNNNNNNNNNNNNNNNNNNNNNNNNNNNNNNNNNNNNNNNNNNNNNNNNNNNNNNNNNNNNNNNNNNNNNNNNNNNNNNNNNNNNNNNNNNNNNNNNNNNNNNNNNNNNNNNNNNNNNNNNNNNNNNNNNNNNNNNNNNNNNNNNNNNNNNNNNNNNNNNNNNNNNNNNNNNNNNNNNNNNNNNNNNNNNNNNNNNNNNNNNNNNNNNNNNNNNNNNNNNNNNNNNNNNNNNNNNNNNNNNNNNNNNNNNNNNNNNNNNNNNNNNNNNNNNNNNNNNNNNNNNNNNNNNNNNNNNNNNNNNNNNNNNNNNNNNNNNNNNNNNNNNNNNNNNNNNNNNNNNNNNNNNNNNNNNNNNNNNNNNNNNNNNNNNNNNNNNNNNNNNNNNNNNNNNNNNNNNNNNNNNNNNNNNNNNNNNNNNNNNNNNNNNNNNNNNNNNNNNNNNNNNNNNNNNNNNNNNNNNNNNNNNNNNNNNNNNNNNNNNNNNNNNNNNNNNNNNNNNNNNNNNNNNNNNNNNNNNNNNNNNNNNNNNNNNNNNNNNNNNNNNNNNNNNNNNNNNNNNNNNNNNNNNNNNNNNNNNNNNNNNNNNNNNNNNNNNNNNNNNNNNNNNNNNNNNNNNNNNNNNNNNNNNNNNNNNNNNNNNNNUUGGUACCACAUGCAUAUAAGGAGUCUAAGAGCAUUGUCACAUUGUCAUGUCCAUAAUGCUAUGUUGUUGAUGACGAAUAAACAUGUGAAUACGUGAUACUUGUUAUUUGAAUGUGCAAAGUUAUGUAAGAAUGAUUAUGAUGUUAAUGUUAAUUAUAAUUCGAAUUACUUUGAUUAACAUUAUUUUGUUAUGAAAUCUCACCCCUUCUCCUUGAAAAUGUUGCCCUUCGUAUGGGUAACUUGCAGGUGAUCGUGCUUAGUGUGCAGUUGCCGUCGUGAGUGGCCUUGCCUUCACUGUGUCGUCUAGGUCGCUCUGAUAUGUAACGGGAUGGGGCUAUAUGUUUUGCAUGCUUCAUUCUAUUGCGUGAACAAUAUGUUAUUUGUUUAUUGAACUAACUCUUUUGAGAUUAUUUUGAUGGGGCCUGCGUGCCAAAAUGUUUUACGAAUAUGAUAUAAUUUUCGCUGCAAUGUUUACGACUUUUGGUAAAUUAUUAUUUAACUGUUUUGGAUCAUGUUAUAUGUGAUAUCCCGUUGUUUUAUGAUGAUUACUCUGAUUUAUGUUAAGAAAUUUUUAUGUUGGGAAAACGGGGUGUUACACGUGGCCCCCUAAAUAAUACAUGUGGCACCUCACUAAUGGACUGUGGGUCCAAAACUGCCAAAGAAUCAAAACAUAGGGGGCUGUUUUGUAUUUAAAUUAGUUAGGGGGCCAUAACCGCAACUUUUGGAAAGAUAGGGGUCCAAAAGUGCAAUUAAGCCUAAAAGAUUAGUAACAAAUGUGAGUAAAAAAUAUUGUUAAAGAUUGGACUUUAAAUCCUCUAAAAAAAAUAUUAGUAACAAACGUGAGCAAAAAAUAAGGUUAAAUAUUGAACUUUAAAUCCUUUAAAAAAAUAUUAGUAACAAACGUGAACAAAAAAUAAUAAUGUUAAAGAUUGGAUUUUAAAUAAUCUAAAAAAAGAUUAGUAACAAACGCGAGUAAAAAAUAAUGUUAAUGAUUGGACUUUAAAUCUUCUGAAGAAAAAAAAAAUUGGUAACAAACGUGAGCAAAAUAUAAUGUUAACGAUUGAACUUUAAAUUCUCUAAAAAAAAAAUAUUAGUAACAAAUAUGAACAAAAAACAAUGUUUAAUAUUAGACUUUAAAUCCUCUAAAAAAAAAAAAUUAGGACUCAGAAUAUUUUAGAAAAAUUUUUGUUAGCACUAUAUUAAAUAUUAAUUAUCAAUCAGUUUCCAAGAGAAGAAUAUAAUUUGUUGUCAUUUGACGAGGUUGAAGGAGAUCCUCAUAACUUAUAUCAACAUGAAUUCCUAAACUCAAUUGUUCAAGGAAGUAUCCCACCACAUAUUUUAAAGGUAAAAAAGAUGCACCUUUGAUGUUGUUGCGAAACAUAGACUCUAGAUAUGGUCUGUGUAAUGAGACACGAUUGUUAUGUCGUGGUUUAUUUAAGAAUAUGUUGGAUGUGGAAUUCCUAACAGGAAGUAAUGCUAGAAAAAGAGCAUUCUUGCCCAAAAUUAAAUUAACAAUAAAUGUGAGUUCCGGACUUUAUUUGUGCUUAGUAGAAAACAGUUUCCUGUAGACUAAGUUUUUUAUAUUGCCAUAAAUAAGUCACAAGGGCAGACCAUUCCCAAUGUCGGAAUCUAUCUUCCACGACAUGCUUUCAGCCAUGGUCAAUUAUAUGUAGCUUUAUCAAGAGGAGUUUCUCAAAAUUCAACAAAAGUUCUCAUUAAAAAAGGGAAAAUAGAAGGAGAAGAUGGAGACUUUACAAAAAAUGUAGUUUUUGAAGAUAUUCUUUUAUCCUAAUAAUAACCAUGUUUCUUUUACAUAACAUGUCAUUUAUACAUAUAUAUUAUGAUGUUACUAAUUACUAUUAGAAUAAACAAUAAAUGAUUAUUAUUUUAUCUUAAUUUUAUAUGCAUGCAAACUAAAAUAUUUUGAGUUCAAAAAUAAUUUUAUUAUAUGUCUUGACAAUAUUUUGUUUAUAAAUUAAUAUAUCAAUAAUUUCCAUUGAUAUUUUAAAAUUUUAAAAUUUUAAUCAAAAUUAUACAAACAAAAAUAGUAAAAUAAACACAUACAUUAGCGCAGUAGAAAGAGCGGACAGACGGACACAAUAAUGUCCGUCUUUCCGCUUGUUGAAAAUAAAAUUGCUACUACAUUUUAAUAUCUUUCUGUUAAUUAAACCUUGUUUUUGUUAACUUCAGUAUCCGUGAUGAGGGAAAUUUCAAUUCUUUAUCAAACGUAGCUAGCAAUGGGAGACCUGUGUGUUUGUUCUUAGGACUAAGAGCGUAAUCAAAAUUUUAAGUUUUUAGAUAACUGUUUUUCUUUUAGAAAUAAUAUUUGAACAUCCAUUACUGUGCUUAGUAUCACUGAGAUAUUUCCUCAAGUAAGUCUGAACUUUGCUGGUGGUGGAUCUCAACCACCAACAAAGUAGAUUAUCCAAAGAAUUCAAGCUUCAAUUUUUCUGAGGAUUGGUUUGGAUUUUGUGAUUUCCAAAGAUGUUAAUUUUAAGUCAGAGUGAGUUGCAGUUGGCAGUUAUAGAAGAGUCGUUGUCUAAUCUAUUAAUCUGAUUAUGAUUUUACUUUGUUUCUAAAGCUGCCUAAUGUACCUUUCUGUAAACAUUUUACAUGAUGACUUAUUUUAUUGAACGAAUCAUUUAUUAAGGCAUAGGAUACUGCAUAUUAUUUGGUUAAGAUUUCCUUUAUUAUCCUUGCAAUCUCUCUGUUUAGUUGAGUGCAUUAGCAGGAUUCAAACAAAGAAAGAAAACUUUUCUUGUAAUUAACAUUACAUGUCAUUUUCUUUGUGAAAUCUGGUACUUUUUAGUGUAGAGAAAGGUUUAAGGCAUGUCUCAGAUAUUUACACCAAAUUCUUGGAUUACAUUCAUUUAUUUUUUAUUUUUCUUUAUUCACAUAUUUUACACAUUUGAUUCUGAUCAUGCUAUUAAAUUUAAAUUCAACAAUGCAGGUUCUUUGGCAGUUAAUGUCUCUGCAUCAACUGACACCGGCACAAGUGAAUAUGUGAAUGCUGGAGAGAUAGGCGGAAGCAUUGUUGUCAAAAUCCCAACUUAAAUCCUAAAAAUUUAGGAUUUUGCGACUUUCUUCACCUUCAAUGACUCAAAUCCAUAGUAGAAUCCCAAAAAAUAGAUAAAAUCAAUCGAUUUUGAUUGCGAUUUUACGAUUUUUUAUAAACUAAGUCAUUUAUGACUAUAUACCAUUUAUAACAUAUAUUUAGUAUUAAUUUUUUUUUUCGGUAGGUUACGAUUUUAAAAUUUCCUAUAUCGAUUUUACAAAAUUCCUUGGGUAAAAUCAUUCUAUCUUGAUUGUGAUUUUACGAGUUCCGAUUUUGCUAUUCUCUUUCGACUUGAAGUAAAGUCCCAAUUUUAACGAUCUUGGGUGGAAGCAAAGACAGUCUACUCCCUUGAUUGAGAAUUACCCGACUGAGCAUGUUCUUCUUGGACUGUUGGCAGAGAGUGCUUUGUUUGUGUGAGAUUGUAAGUGGGGACGAGAAAGGCAAUGUAUAAAUAAAAGAGAUGAAUUCUUGAACAAUAUUGGAAGAAUUCUUGAACAAUAUUGGAAAACACUCAAUUUUCAUAUUGAUAGAGGAUUGAAAAAUGAGUGUACUAUUAUAUAAUGAGUGAUUUAUAAAGAAUUAUAUUCAUCAAAUUGAAAUAAUUUUGUAAGGUUGAGUUACUCGAAUUUACUAUGUAACAUAACAAGAGGUGCAUUCCCUCAAAAAAAAAAAAAAAAAGAGGUGUAUUGAA
rnacentral:lncRNA from 1 species